UGAGUAGGCGGUAAUAUGUGUCAGAUGUAAAAGGCUAUGGCUUAACCAUAGUUAGCAUUUGAAACUGUAUUACUUGAGUGCAGGAGAGGUAAGUGGAAUUCCUAGUGUAGCGGUGAAAUGCGUAGAUAUUAGGAGGAACACCAGUGGCGAAGGCGACUUACUGGACUGUAACUGACGCUGAGUCACGAAAGCGUGGGUAGCAAACAG
rnacentral:rRNA from 1 species